rnacentral:rRNA from 1 species
CUACCCUUAUCGGUGGAUCACUAGGCUCGUGGA